rnacentral:rRNA from 1 species
CAAAAACAUGGCCUUUUGAUUAUAAUUUAAGGUCUGGCCUGCCCAAUGAUUAAUUAAAUGGCCGCGGUAUACUGACCGUGCAAAGGUAGCAUAAUCACUAGUUUUUUAAUUGGAAGCUUGAAUGAAAGGUUGGAUGAAGAAACUACUGUCUCAAUUAAAAUUUUUUAGAAUUUUAUUAUUUUGUAAAAAGGCUAAAAUUAUUAUAAAAGACGAGAAGACCCUAUAGAGUUUUAUAAUUUGUAUAGAAAGGGUAAUUAGAAUAGAUUUCUUUAUUUGUUUAAAUUAUUUGGUUGGGGUGAUUGAAAAACUUAAUUAACUUUUUUUCAAAGAUUACAUAUAUUUAUGAAUAUUUGAUCCUUAUAAAAGAUUAAAAGAAAAAAUUACCUUAGGGAUAACAGCGUUAUUUUUCUUGAGAGU